CACAUAUCGAUUAUGUUCUUAGCUAAAUUCUCAAUUAUCGGAUACCAUUUUGACCACGUGCUCGGGGCAACAAAGCAAUUUCAAUCUGAUAAAUGGCAGCUGCACUCAAAUAUUACGAAUAUUAUAAAAUUUGCACAUUGCGAAACUUGAGCAAACAAUAAAAUGGCAAAUUAAAGCUGCUGGGUAAACAUUUAAUUGUUAUUACAUGGCAAUAAGAAAACAAGCCGAGCAAUAAUAAUAACAAACUAAGCCCAGAACUGAGGAAACUUGAUAAAAUUGCAAUUUCAGUUAGUUUCGCAUCGGCCUCUACCGCUGGAACUCUGGACCAGCAUUUAUUGACACUCGUCUUAUCAUAACUAAAAUCAUUUGCAUGUAUUGCAAACAUGGCAAACAACAACAAGAACAACAACGGCCAGGACCAAAGGCAAUCGGAACAGGAUGAGUUGUCGCAAUGGGCGCUGAGGGCGCAACACGAGAUGCCCAACUGGAGCUGCAACUGGUAACAGUUGGACAGUUGGGGGCACCCCGUUGCUUGAGACUGGGGCAGAUUGAAAAGAAGAAGAACAAAUAGAAAGGCAUGGUGUGAGCGCUUUACCACAAAUACUCUUUAAAAAUAUGAGACAUUCCUCCCGAUUGCCCCUAGUUUAGAACAAGGAAAUUCGAAGGGAAAUUCGAAAGAUGGAAUUGGAAAAAGGCCCAAUUAAUUAAUGAUUUUAUUUAUAUUAUCUUAAAUAUGUAUAUUUUAAUCUUGAAUCAUCUAUUGAGACUGGCAUAGAUUAAAAAGUUGAAUAACAAAUAGAAA